rnacentral:rRNA from 1 species
GAUGAACGCUGGCGGCGUGCCUAAUACAUGCAAGUCGAGCGAACAGACGAGGAGCUUGCUCCUCUGACGUUAGCGGCUGACGGGUGAGUAACACGUGGAUAACCUACCUAUAAGACUGGGAUAACUUCGGGAAACCGGAGCUAAUACCGGAUAAUAUAUUGAACCGCAUGGUUCAAUAGUGCAUGACGGUUUUGCUGUCACUUAUAGAUGGAUCCGCGCCGCAUUAGCUAGUUGGUAAGGUAACGGCUUACCAAGGCAACGAUGCGUAGCCGACCUGAGAGGGUGAUCGGCCACACUGGAACUGAGACACGGAACAGACACCGACGGGAGGCAGCAGUAGGGAAUAUUCCGCAAUGGGCGAAAGCCUGACGGAGCAAAGCCGCGUGAGUGAUGAAGGUCUUAGGAUCGUAAAACUCUGUUAUUAGGGAAGAAAAAAUGUGUAAGUAACUAUGCACGUAUUGACGGUAACGAAUAAGAAAGCAACGGCUAACUACGUG